CCUACGGGAGGCAGCAGUGGGGAAUAUUGCACAAUGGGGGAAACCCUGAUGCAGCGACGCCGCGUGAGUGAAGAAGUAUUUCGGUAUGUAAAGCUCUAUCAGCAGGGAAGAAAAUGACGGUACCUGAUUAAGAAGCCCCGGCUAACUACGUGCCAGCAGCCGCGGUAAUACGUAGGGGGCAAGCGUUAUCCGGAUUUACUGGGGGUAAAGGGAGCGUAGACGGGAGCACAAGUCUGGAGUGAACUGCCGGGGUUUAACCCCGGCACUGCUUUGGAAACUGUACAGCUAGAGUGGAGGAGAGGUAAGUGGAAUUCCUAGUGUAGCGGUGAAAUGCGUAGAUAUUAGGAGGAACACCAGUGGCGAAGGCGGCUUACUGGACUGUAACUGACGUUGAGGCUCGAAAGCGUGGGGAGCAAACAGGAUUAGAUACCCUUGUAGUC
rnacentral:rRNA from 1 species